rnacentral:rRNA from 1 species
CACGAGUGGCGAACGGGUGAGUAACACGUGAGUAACCUGCCCACAACUUUGGGAUAACGCUAGGAAACUGGUGCUAAUACUGGAUAUGUGCUCCUGCUGCAUGGUGGGGGUUGGAAAGCUCCGGCGGUUGUGGAUGGACUCGCGGCCUAUCAGCUUGUUGGUGGGGUAGUGGCCUACCAAGGCGGCGACGGGUAGCCGGCCUGAGAGGGUGACCGGCCACAUUGGGACUGAGAUACGGCCCAGACUCCUACGGGAGGCAGCAGUGGGGAAUAUUGCACAAUGGGCGCAAGCCUGAUGCAGCAACGCCGCGUGCGGGAUGACGGCCUUCGGGUUGUAAACCGCUUUCAGCAGGGACGAAGCUUUUUGUGACGGUACCUGCAGAAGAAGCACCGGCUAACUACGUGCCAGCAGCCGCGGUGAUACGUAGGGUGCGAGCGUUGUCCGGAUUUAUUGGGCGUAAAGGGCUCGUAGGCGGUUGAUCGCGUCGGAAGUGGAAACUUGAUGCUUAACGUUGAGCGUGCUUUCGAUACGGGUUGACUUGAGGAAGGUAGGGGAGAAUGGAAUUCCUGGUGGAGCGGUGGAAUGCGCAGAUAUCAGGAGGAACACCAGUGGCGAAGGCGGUUCUCUGGACCUUUCCUGACGCUGAGGAGCGAAAGCGUGGGGAGCGAACAGGCUUAGAUACCCUGGUAGUCCACGCUGUAAACGGUGGGUACUAGGUGUGGGGUCCAUUCCACGGAUUCUGUGCCGUAGCUAACGCAUUAAGUACCCCGCCUGGGGAGUACGGGCCGCAAGGGCUAAAACUCAAAGGAAUUGACGGGGCCCCGCACAAGCGGCGGAGCAUGCGGAUUAAUUCGAUGCAACGCGAAGAACCUUACCUGGGUUUGACAUGGAUCGGGAGCUUCCAGAGAUGGUUGUGCCUCUUUUGGGGUCGGUUCACAGGUGGUGCAUGGCUGUCGUCAGCUCGUGUCGUGAGAUGUUGGGUUAAGUCCCGCAACGAGCGCAACCCUCGUCCACUGUUGCCAGCAAUUCGGUUGGGGACUCAGUGGAGACCGCCGGGGUCAACUCGGAGGAAGGUGGGGAUGACGUCAAGUCAUCAUGCCCCUUAUGUCCAGGGCUUCACGCAUGCUACAAUGGCCGGUACAGUGAGUUGCGACAUCGUAAGGUGGAGCGAAUCUCAAAAAGCCGGUCUCAGUUCGGAUUGGGGUCUGCAACUC